CUUGGAGGAACGUAUAGCGAAAGCUAGCUGCAUUAGCUUAGCGAAAGCUAAAUUGGUGCAGAAUUGUCUCGUCAAAUAAAGUUCCAGGUGGGUUAUGAUGAUGACAUUUCCUAUCUGUGUGUCUUGACCAAAUUACGUGCCAGCAGUCGCGGUAAUACGUAGAAGACUAGUGUUAUUCAUCUUUAAUAGGUUUAAAGGGUACCUAGACGGUAAAUCAAGUCCGAGAAGGAUACUAAUUUGACUAGAGUUAAAUGUGAGGGGGCAUUAAAGUACUGAUGAGUGGAGAGAUGAAAUUCUAUUAUACAAUAUACGGCACUGGCAAAGGCGAAAGCAUCUCCUUAUGUAAUAACUGACGUUGAGGGACGAAGGCUAUGUGUAGCAAAAAGGAUUAGUUACCCAAGUAGUCAUAGCAGAAAAUUAUGAAUGUCAUGGGAUGGAAGAUUUUUACACACAUAGGCCAAGUAAAAACAAACUUUCUUUCUAUAAAUGAUAGUGUAAGCAUUCCACCUCAAGAGUAAUUUGGCAACAUUGGAACUGAAAUCAUUAGACCGUUUCUGAAACAAGUAGUGAAGUAUGUUGUUUAAUUUGAUGAUCCGCAAAAAACCUUACCACAAUUUGAAUAGAAAAUUUUUUUAUACAAGUGCUGCACGGUUGUCUUCAGUUAAUGUCGUGAGAUCUUGGUUAGUUCCAUUAAAUUAACGUAAACCCUUACUUUAUUUUUAUAUAGAGUAGUUCGCCGCUAUAUUGGAUAUGAUAAGAGGGA
rnacentral:rRNA from 1 species